GCUAAUUCUGUCAGUUUAAUUUUUAUUCAUUUUUUUCUUCCUCUAAAGGUAACCUGGAUCAUUGGUUUUAUGUAUGGUCAUCAGGGAUAGCUCCCAAGCUGUUAUAAAACAACUCAUUCCCAAUGAAGCAUAAUUUAUUUCACGAACCCCCAUGUACCAGUCAGGAUUCAAUGUAUAGCCCAAUGUGAGGAAGUACACCUGUGGAGAGAAAACUACAAACAAAACACAUCAAUGCAAAGCUCUGUGUCCCUAAGCUAAGAGGGGAAGCCAACUUGUUCAAACUGUCAUUAUUAGCUCCAUUUCCAAUACCACAAAAUUAAAGGACUGUUGCAAAGAAACAAAUAAAUUCUAGUAAGAACACACAAUCUCUUUGAAAGAGCUCAUCUCCUCACCCUCAUCCACCCACCUGGACCAGAGAUGCAAGAAUUACAGGGAACCCAGCUGAGUUGUAAUGUUAUUGAUCCUCUGCUAAUCGGAUUUUUCUUGAGUCUGGCAACAGUCAAGUGUUUACAAGACUUCUCUUUUCAAAAACAACUCAAAAGUCAUUCCCAGCAGAGAAGCUAAAAACCAGAAAAUCAAUAAUAUAGGAACUGCUACUAAGAAUUUUCAUCUACCCAGUGAAGGAGGAUAUUUAUUUAUAGAAAAACUGGCCACUCCAGUUUAGUGUGGUAAUGACAUGGUACAGCUAGUUCAAAGAGUGGCAUGGUUGAACACAGCCUUGUAUUAUGCCCACCUCAAAUGGUCUCUAUGAGGAAAAGCCUAUAAUUUAGAGAGAUUUGCCAUGGAUAGUAAAAACUGGGUCAUUGUAACAGAUAUUUUUUACCAGCUCUAUUUGUGGAUGGGGCAUGUAAGAAGGAAGGAAAAGUUUAGUUUCAGAAAACCUGGAAAGGAAAGGAAACAUCAUUUGGUUUUUUACUUACAUGAGAACUUUAUUACAACACCCUGAACCAUGUAUGGUUGAAAACUUAUGACAAUGGUAUAGCAUUUUAUUAGCGAUUUGAUAAUAGGUAGUUCAGAUUUCAGUAUAGAAUUUUUUUAAAUUUUACUUGUUUUAUUUCCUAAAGAAUCAUGUCUUCAUCAUCUGACUUUUCUGUUUCUCUUCACUUGCUCUUUGAACUUUUGUUUAAAAAAAUGUGUUAACUUCAAUUGUAUGUUUAUAAUGGUGUUUAUCUUUAGGCAGAAUGUGAGAAACACUGACUCAAUAUGCCAACCUGUCUUCUAGGGGAACCCUGGGAAUGUGGUUCUGUUGACUGUUUAUAAUGUAUUUUAAUAUUACUUCUAUUACUUGAUGCUAAAAACCAGGAGGUACAGAUUACCAAUAUGAUUCAGCCACUCUCUUAAUAGCCAGGCAGCAACCUCUUAGACUUAUUUUUAAAACUCAAUUAAAUAUUCUGUAAGGAUUUAGUCUAUAGUGGCUCUGAAUUGUAAUUUCUACAUGCCUAUCUUGCAUUGUCAUUUUCAGUUUCUAUCAACCAGCUCUGAUGCUUUUUCAGAGAUGACAUUUGCCUACUGGAAUGUUGGUAAAUGUUUAAAACUGGCUCCCCAGAAAAAAGAAGCUCUGAUUUAUAUUUUUUGACAAUAAUUUUUGUGGUGUAACUACUCUCACAUCAUCAAUUUACAGCUACCGACAUGAGGUCACAGAAAACAGUAGAAGAAAAUAUAGCACUGAACAUGAAUACAGAAGCCAGUCCUUCUACCUUCUG